rnacentral:rRNA from 1 species
UCUGGUGAUGAUGCUCUUUAGGGUAACACCCGUUUUCCAUUCCGAACACGAAGGUUAAGCCUAUUGAGGCCGAUGGUACUGCACGGGAGACUGUGUGGGAGAGUAGGUGGUUGCCAGGUAAUAUGGAUCUUUAGCUCAGUUGGUUAGAGCAACCGGCUCAUAACCGGUAGGUCCGGGGUUCGAGUCCCUGA